rnacentral:ribozyme from 1 species
UUACACACACAGCACGACCAAACGAGAAAGAAGGGAGAGAAUAGAAAAGGGCGCAAGUAGGUAUCAAUUUGAAAUAAUGCUGCCUUUCUUUCUUUGCUGUCUUUCGCUGUUCUUCUUUCUUU